AUGCAGCCCAGCAGCUCCGAGCAGAUGUCCAAGCCCAAGGAUCAAAAGCAGCUCAUCACCUGGCCAAGGGCAGCUUGGAGAGGAUGGGUGACGCUGGGGGCAGAAGACAGAGGACAGGGAGCCUGUGCUCAGGAAGGGGAGCCACGCGGGAGGAGCCAUUCAGUUGCCCAAAGACAAGGUGCAUGCCUGUCCAAACUGGAAAGACGCUGUGAAAGGCUGGAGGAGCAGAGAGUCCGGGGUCAAGAGGUGGAAAUACUGGUAAGAGAACCAGGCAGGAGGCCAGCACAGCAACGGAGGACUCUGCCCAGUACUGGGGACACAUGGAGGAGGUGCUGUGCUCAGAGGUCACUCAAGCAUCCCACAAAGCUUUUCUGAGGACAACCCUGAGGUAAGCACCAUUUUAGGUGUUGGGGGGACAAGGGAGGACAAGACAUAUAAGGUCCCAAGCCUCCUGAGGAGACCGGAAGUAAACAGGGUAAUUUCCAGUAGAGAUAAAUGCUGGGAACCCAAUUUAAAACACUAACAGGAUACGCAGAAGAGUAGAACCCAGCUGCCCUUUGAGUUUGGAACUCCAGUAGCUAAGCCUGGAGCAUCUCUCUGGGCCUCUGUAUCCUCAUCUGUACAACAUGCAUGACAGGCCCCAUCUCCCAGGGCUGUGGUGAGAAUUAGACGAGAGAAGCUUAUGCCUCUGGAAUAGCACCAGGUUGGCUGCAAGCUCUGUAAAAGCCAGCAAGAGUGAAUGAGAGCUAGGUGAGGCCACAGAGAGAGUGGCAGGGAAAUGCCUAUCCCAUGAGGGUACAAGCUUGAGAAGAUCCAGGUGACAUGGACCCUCAGAAGACUGCAGGUAAGGGUCUUGAGGCAGGGGUUUGGAGGUGAAGUGUGACUGAGGAAGAGGAAGUGCUAAUGGAGGGGUGCUCCUCAGGCCCUUGGAGGCCAGGGAGGAGGAUGGGCCAAAGGGAAGACACUGAAGAAUUUUCAGGUGGAUUCGGAGAGAGGGGUCAUGCUCUGAUUUGAUGUAAAGGAGGGUCAACCAGCUGCCCUGUGGAGAAUGGAGUGGGACAGACAGAAAGACAAGCAGAGGAGUGUCAGCUGGGAAUAAGCAAGAUCUCCCACCCAAGCCCAGGGACCCACUUCUGAGGAGAUGGGACACUCCAAAUCCUUCUCCAUCUGGAUGGAGUGGGUAGGGCUGUCUGGGAUAGAAUACAGGAGAGAGGCUGCAGCAGAUGGCCUUGCAAAAGAAAAAAGAAAAAGAAGAUAUGAUCCAAGCAAUUCAGCAAAAGUACAUUGCUCCUUAUAUUUUAAACACAUUAGUUUACCAUGGAUCUUAAUUAUACUAACAUUUGUUGAGUAUUUAUGUGUCCAGGGUAAUGUGCUAAAUUCAUUUUCUCAUUAUAUCUCAUUACAUCUUUCUA
rnacentral:lncRNA from 1 species